ACAAACUUGGUCAUUUAGAGGAAGUAAAAGUCGUAACAAGGUUUCCGUAGGUGAACCUGCGGAAGGAUCAUUAAUCGUGUAGGGUAUAUUCUGCCCAAACGUCAACCCUGUGAUUUAAUUAAACUUGUUUCUUUGCCGGCCUCGGUUGGCAGAAGAAUUCUCAAACCCGAUAAAAGGAAAACAUGUCAAUCUGAGACUGGAAAAUAAAUCAAAACUUUCAACAACGGAUCUCUUGGUUCUGGCAUCGAUGAAGAACGCAGC
rnacentral:misc_RNA from 1 species